rnacentral:rRNA from 1 species
UACAGAGGUCUCAAGCGUUGUUCGGAUUCUUGGGCGUAAAGGGUGCGUAGGUGGCGCCGUAAGUCGGGUGUGAAAUCUCGGGGCUUAACUCCGAAACUGCAUUCGAUACUGCCGUGCUUGAGGACUGGAGAGGAGACUGGAAUUUACGGUGUAGCGGUGAAAUGCGCAGAUAUCAGGAGGAACACCGGUGGCGAAGGCGGGUCUCUGGGCCGAUACUGACGCUGAGGAGCGAAAGCGUGGGGGAGCGAACAGG